AAACAAGUGAAUUGAUUAUCAAACACAAGUUCUUUGAGUUCUAAGCUUGUGUCUUCCUUUUUUGUCAUCUUGUCUACCUUCCAUUGUUAAUGUCAUGGUUCCUUGAUAAACAAAUUUUCCCUAGGAAACAAAACAGAAAAAGGCUAGUUAGUAUUUUAUUUUAAUGACAAAUCAGGAUGCUCUCUUAUUUUUCUCUCUUUUUCUUCUUUCUCUUCUCUCUCUUUCCUUUCUUUCUUUUCUUUCUCAUUUCUUUCUCUAUUUUCUUUCUCCUCUCUCGCCCUUUUUUCUUUCUCUUCUUUUUCUCUUUUUUCUCUUUCUUCACAAUCUCUCUUUUAUUUCUCUUAUUUUUCUUUCUUUUCUGUUCUUCCAUUUCCUUAAGUUCUUUU
rnacentral:lncRNA from 1 species